rnacentral:rRNA from 1 species
UACAGAGGUGGCAAGCGUUGUUCGGAAUUACUGGGCGUAAAGGGCGCGUAGGCGGUCUUGUAAGUCUUGUGUGAAAUCCCUCGGCUUAACUGAGGAACUGCACGGGAUACUGCGAGACUUGAGAUCGGGGAGAGGGAAGCGGAAUUCCGGGUGUAGCGGUGAAAUGCGUAGGAUAUCCGGAGGAACACCGGUGGCGAAGGCGGCUUCCUGGACCGACACUGACGCUGGAGGCGCGAAAGCUAGGGGAGCAAACGGG